AUCUUAGUAGUGUAUAAAAUAACACGUUUCAUUUUCAUUGACAAAAAGAAGCUUAUGUCUUCCCAAGAUU
rnacentral:tRNA from 1 species